AGGGUUUGAUUAUGGCUCAGGAUGAACGCUAGCUACAGGCUUAACACAUGCAAGUCGAGGGGCAGCAUCAUCAAAGCUUGCUUUGAUGGAUGGCGACCGGCGCACGGGUGAGUAACACGUAUCCAACCUGCCGACAACACUGGGAUAGCCUUUCGAAAGAAAGAUUAAUACCGGAUGGCAUAAUUAUUCCGCAUGGGAUAAUUAUUAAAGAAUUUCGGUUGUCGAUGGGGAUGCGUUCCAUUAGGCAGUUGGCGGGGUAACGGCCCACCAAACCUACGAUGGAUAGGGGUUCUGAGAGGAAGGUCCCCCACAUUGGAACUGAGACACGGUCCAA
rnacentral:rRNA from 1 species